GGCCGGGUAGCUCAGUCGGUAGAGCAGAGGACUGAAAAUCCUUGUGUCGGCGGUUCGAUUCCGUCCCCGGCCA
rnacentral:tRNA from 3 species